GUCCCCGUAGAUUAGUGGUUAGAUCAUCACGUUGUGGCAACUCAACGCAUCCGUGGAGACCCAGGCUCGACUCCUGGCAGGGACA
rnacentral:tRNA from 1 species